ensembl:lncRNA PCDHB18P protocadherin beta 18 pseudogene
GAAUACCAGGAGAAAAUAGUCUUUCAAAAGGUAGGGCACCAUCAACACCUUCGCGACAGGAUUAAGAGUUUCUAGAUUCCCAAAGGUCCAGGCUGAUAGGUGAGAGGAGCAACUUUAAGAGCUGCUAGAGACUGAGUUGAAACGUUUACGCCAGAAAGACGUUUGGCUAAGGAGCUAUGGAGCCGGGAAAGGGAAGAGCUCAGCGGACAAGAAUGGCGACUUGCUCUUAAACGAGCAGCUGGACCGGGAGGCACUUUGUGAUCUCACAGAGCCAUGUAUAUUGCAUUUCCAGGUGUUAUUUGAAAAUCCGUUGCAAUUUUUUCGUGCUGAGCUUUUGGUCAAAGACAUAAAUGAUCACACUCCCACGUUCCUAAACAAUCAUAUGCUUCUAAAAAUCUCCGAAGGUGCUACUCUAGGAACCUUAUUCCAAAUAGAUAGUGCGCAGGACUUGGAUGUGGGAAAGAAUGGUGUUCAAAACUAUACAAUAAGUCCCAAUCCCCAUUUCCACCUUAAAUUACGGGAUAGCGAUGAGGGCAGAAAAUAUCCAGA